rnacentral:rRNA from 1 species
AGCAGUAGCCGCGGUAAUACGAAGGGGGCUAGCGUUGUUCGGAUUUACUGGGCGUAAAGCGCACGUAGGCGGACUUUUAAGUCAGGGGUGAAAUCCCGGGGCUCAACCCCGGAACUGCCUUUGAUACUGGGAGUCUUGAGUUCGAGAGAGGUGAGUGGAAUUGCGAGUGUAGAGGUGAAAUUCGUAGAUAUUCGCAGGAACACCAGUGGCGAAGGCGGCUCACUGGCUCGAUACUGACGCUGAGGUGCGAAAGCGUGGGGAGCAAACAGGAUUAGAUACCCCAGUAGUCCCUGUCUCUUAUAC